UACGGAGGAUCCGAGCGUUAUCCGGAUUUAUUGGGUUUAAAGGGUGCGUAGGCGGUUUGAUAAGUUAGAGGUGAAAUUUCGGUGCUCAACAUCGAAACUGCCUCUGAUACUGUCAGACUAGAGAAUAGUUGCAGAAGGCGGAAUGAGUAGUGUAGCGGUGAAAUGCUUAGAUAUUACUCAGAACACCGAUUGCGAAGGCAGCUUUCUAAGCUAUAUCUGACGCUGAUGCACGAAAGCGUGGGGAGCAAAC
rnacentral:rRNA from 1 species